UAUUUCACAAUGGGGGAAACCCUGAUGCAGCGACGCCGCGUGAGUGAGGAAGUAUUUCGGUAUGUAAAGCUCUAUCAGCCGGGAAGAAAAUGACGGUACCUGACUAAGAAGCCACGGCUAACUACGUGCCAGCAGCCGCGGUAAUACGUAGGGGGCAAGCGUUAUCUGGCUUUACUGGGUGUAAAGGGAGCGUAGACGGAAUUGCAAGUCUGAUGUGAAAAUCCGAGGCUCAACCCCGGAACUGCAUUGGAAACUGUAUUUCUAGAGUGUCGGAGAGGCAAGUGGAAUUCCUGGUGUAGAGGUGAGAUGCGUAGAUAUCAGGAGGAACACCAGUGGCGAAGGCGGCUUGCUGGACGAUGACUGACGUUGAGGCUCGAAAGCGUGGGGAGCAAACAG
rnacentral:rRNA from 1 species